rnacentral:rRNA from 1 species
AGAAUCAACGCUGGCGGCGUGCCUCAGACAUGCAAGUCGAACGCGAAAGCCCCCUUCGGGGGCAAGUAGAGUGGCGCACGGGUGAGUAACACGUAGGUAAUCUACCUUCGGAUGGGGAAUAACAAUCGGAAACGGUUGCUAAUACCGCAUAAUGCAGCGGCACCUAAUGGUGACAGUUGUUAAAGCGGGGGAUCGAAAGACCUCGCGUCUGAAGAGGAGCCUGCGGCGGAUUAGCUAGUUGGUAGGGUAACGGCUUACCAAGGCAACGAUCCGUAGCCGGCCUGAGAGGGCGGUCGGCCACACUGACACUGACAUACGGGUCAGACUCCUACGGGAGGCAGCAGUCGGGAAUUUGGGCAAUGGGCGAAAGCCUGACCCAGCAACGCCGCGUGAAGGAUGGAAAUCCCUCGGGAUGUAAACUUCGCAAGAACGGAAGAAUAAGUCUGUGUAAAUAUCAACAGAUAGAUGAGGUACCGUUGUAAAGCUCCGGCUAACUCCGUGCUAGCAGCCG